AACGAACUUCCGUUAAUUGAUUAUGACGUACUUGUACUGAUUGAGAUUUUAACACGAAGUGAGUGGCGAACGGGUGAGUAACACGUGGGUAACCUGCCCAGAAGUAGGGGAUAACACCUGGAAACAGAUGCUAAUACCGUAUAACAGAGAAAACCGCAUGGUUUUCUUUUAAAAGAUGGCUCUGCUAUCACUUCUGGAUGGACCCGCGGCGUAUUAGCUAGUUGGUGAGGUAAAGGCUCACCAAGGCAGUGAUACGUAGCCGACCUGAGAGGGUAAUCGGCCACAUUGGGACUGAGACACGGCCCAGACUCCUACGGGAGGCAGCAGUAGGGAAUCUUCCACAAUGGACGCAAGUCUGAUGGAGCAACGCCGCGUGAGUGAAGAAGGGUUUCGGCUCGUAAAGCUCUGUUGUUAAAGAAGAACGUGGGUAAGAGUAACUGUUUACCCAGUGACGG
rnacentral:rRNA from 1 species